UACGUAGGGUGCGAGCGUUAAUCGGAAUUACUGGGCGUAAAGCGUGCGCAGGCGGUCUGUUAAGACCGAUGUGAAAUCCCCGGGCUUAACCUGGGAACUGCAUUGGUGACUGCAUUGCUGGAGUAUGGCAGAGGGGGGUGGAAUUCCACGUGUAGCAGUGAAAUGCGUAGAGAUGUGGAGGAACACCGAUGGCGAAGGCAGCCCCCUGGGCCAAUACUGACGCUCAUGCACGAAAGCGUGGGGAGCAAACAGG
rnacentral:rRNA from 1 species